rnacentral:rRNA from 1 species
UCAGGCCUAACACAUGCAAGUCGAACGGCAGCACGGGUGCUUGCACCUGGUGGCGAGUGGCGAACGGGUGAGUAAUAUAUCGGAACGUGCCCUAGAGUGGGGGAUAACGUAGCGAAAGUUACGCUAAUACCGCAUACGAUCUACGGAUGAAAGUGGGGGACCGCAAGGCCUCACGCUCCUGGAGCGGCCGAUAUCUGAUUAGCUAGUUGGUGGGGUAAAAGCCUACCAAGGCGACGAUCAGUAGCUGGUCUGAGAGGACGACCAGCCACACUGGGACUGAGACACGGCCCAGACUCCUACGGGAGGCAGCAGUGGGGAAUUUUGGACAAUGGGGGCAACCCUGAUCCAGCAAGGCCGCGUGUGUGAAGAAGGCCUUCGGGUUUAAAGCAAAUGGUCAGGAACGAAACGGUGGGGGCUA